UACGGGGGGGGCAAGCGUUGUUCGGAAUUACUGGGCGUAAAGGGCUCGUAGGCGGCCAACUAAGUCCGACGUGAAAUCCCCAGGCUUAACCUGGGAACCGCGUCGGAUACUGGAUGGCUUGAAUUCGGGAGAGGGAUGCAGAAUUCCAGGUGUAGCGGUGAAAUGCGUAGAUAUCUGGAGGAAUACCGGUGGCGAAGGCGGCAUCCUGGACCGACAUUGACGCUGAUGAGCGAAAGCUAGGGGAGCAAACGGG
rnacentral:rRNA from 1 species